UUUUUAAAUACAGAUAAGGCAGAGGACUAUGAGAAUUUAGAUUCUAAAUUGUUGUAGUGGUAAAUACGGGAAAAUCCAUUUUUAUACCGAAUCAUUUUUAUUUAUCAU
rnacentral:sRNA from 1 species